rnacentral:misc_RNA from 1 species
UUUGGAACUUCCAUAACAUGUUAUCCAUGUAAAUCCCAAAAGGGCCACGUUGAGGAGAAAAAUAAAUAAAAAGAAGGAAUACAUGAGAAACUUAAAUACAAAGUUGCAAUUAACCCUUACAUCAACAGGCAAACUACCUUAAACAACCCUAAAUGUACAUAAUAACAGCAUGAGGAAGAUGAUGAGAUCCCUCCAUGUUUAUUUCAACAGAUGUACGCUCCAUUUUUCUUACAUAUAUGUAUUGUAAAACUUGAUGCUCGGCUGGUGAAAAAGCAAGAGUGCAGCUAUUAAUUAUCGACAUCCCCUGUGCUCCCCAAAAACCCAAUUAAUGGAUUCCUCGCAAUUGGGUAAAAAAAUGGAAUUGCAUUCCAGGAGAAAAUAAUGCUACAGAUGGCAGAUAAAACCACACCUUAGCCCAUGAAACCAAACCGAACCAGCAUUUAUACUAUCAAUGAUGUGUGAGAGGCCUUAUUGCGAAGAAUAUAGAACAAGAAUAAGGAAGUAGCGAAAGAUAUAUAGCAGAAGCUAGAGAGAUGCCUAGUCAUCGCCAUGGAUGUACCAGCAGAGAAGCAUGAUGGCGCAACGGCGUAAGAUAUAGAUACGGGCACGUUGCUCCUUGAUCAAGGAAGCACACUUUUUUGUAAAACCAUGGCCCUUUCUUCUUGAUGAAGAAGAAGAGGCCUUGGUUCCACACUUGUUAUUAUACGGUUGGAGCUUAAGAACAUCAGCCAUGGUGGAUAAGAAAUCUAGGGUUUACUAGAAA